rnacentral:rRNA from 1 species
UUGGGGGCUAAGCUCCAACGGACAAAAGGGAAACAGCCCUUGAUCGCAGACUAAGGUCCCUAAAUUCAUACUCAGUGUCAAAGGUGGUCGGGUGACUUAAACAACCAGGAGGUUGGCUUAGAAGCAGCCAUCCUUUAAAGAAAGCGUAACAGCUCACUGGUCAAGUUACUCGGCGCCGAAAACUUACCGGGGCUCAAGUAUGAUACCGAAGUCGCGGGUUACGCCGUGCCUCACUAACGUUCGCCACGGCAGCUUCUUAGGCAUUAGCUUGUUAGCUUCUUAGGAUGACCUAAGAAGCUGAAGGCUAAGAAGCUAAAAAGCUAAAGCAAGUGACGAGCGAUAGCGAGGCACGGGUAGCGGUAAGGGAGCAUUCUCUUUGCGCUGAAGCGGAAGGCGUGAGCCACCGUGGAGCGGAGAGAAGUGAGAAUGUCGGCAUAAGUAGCAACAAGAAAGGUGAGAAUCCUUUCCACCAUAAACCCAAGGUUUCCAGGGCAACGCGAAUCGUCCCUGGGUUAGUCGGUCCUAAGGCGAGGCCGAAAGGCGUAGUCGAUGGACAGCAGGUUAAUAUUCCUGCACUUCCGUACGAUUUCGAUGGAGUGACGCAUCGUUCAACUGGUCGAGUCUCCUGGAAUGAGACUUCGGGCGCGCAGGGGUGUUCCGCAUGCAAAUCAGCGGAGCAUAAGCCUCGGCGUGAGCGCGAGUCUGCCGCAAGGCGGACAAGGAUCGGGACUGCGGUGUCGAGAAAACCUUCUAGAGCUAAUCGUAUGGAAACCGUACCGUAAACCGACACAGGUGGGUGGGCAUACGUGUGCCAAGGUGUACGAGAGAACCCAUGUUUAGGAACUCGGCAAUACAACGGCCGUAACUUCGGGAUAAGGCCUGCCCAGAGCAAUCUGGGCCGCAGCUAAUGACGCAAACCGACUGUUUACCAAAAACACAGCUUCCUGCUAAACCGCAAGGUGAUGUAUAGGAAGUGAUGCCUGGCCAGUGUCAGAACGUUAAGGGGAGAGGUCAUCCCGUCGCAAGACGGGGGCAGCCUUGAGCUGAAGCGCUGAUGAACGCCGGCGAUAACUAUAAUCGUUUUCUCGCUACCCCCAGCGCAAGCUGGGAACAGAGUAGGGCGAUUACAAAAUUCGACCAAAUGCUGGAACACCUGCGCAUGUCAUGGUACCGAGUAGGUAACAAUCCAUGAACGAUGCAGACAAUCAGCAGGAAAGACUUCGAUCUCGUGUCGGAGAAUCCUCAGAGACUACACGUCGAACUAAGAUCGAUUGAAUCAAGAGUCAGUUAUCCUCUUGGAAAAUCCUAUCAAUCAAAAACUUAGAUGAUAUAGUCCAUACACUCUAGCGAUAGGGUGAGGCAUAAGCCUAAGGUAGCGAAAUUCCUUGUCGGGUGAGUUCCGACCCGCACGAAUGGCAUAACGAGUUUGCGACUGUCUCAACAUGGGACUCGGCGAAAUUGCAAGUGGGGUGAAGAUGCCCUGUACGCGCAGUCAGACGAAAAGACCCCGUGAAGCUUUACUACAACUUGAUAUUGGGUAACGGCUUAGUAUGUUCAGAGUAGGUGGGAGCCGCAAGGCAACAAUGAGACACCACCCUUACUCUUUCGUUAUUCUGAUCGCAGACCGUCUAUCCGGUUUGUGAGACAGUAUCUGGUGGGUAGUUUAACUGGGGCGGUUGCCUCCCAAAAAGUAACGGAGGCGUUCACAAAGGUCAGCUAGGCACGGAUGGAAAUCGUGCCGAUUCCGCAAUGGGAUAAGCUGGCUUAACUGCAAGACCAACAAGUCGAGCAGAUACGAAAGUAGGACAUAGUGAUCCGACCGUACGAUAUCGGACGGCGGAAGCUCAACGGAUAAAAGCUACUCCGGGGAUAACAGGCUGAUCUGGUCCAAGAGUCCACAUCGACGACCAGGUUUGGCACCUUAAUACAUCGGGGUGCAUCAGAAGUGAUUCUGAUCCAAAUCCUUCGACAAGCUCAGGAUAAGCCCUGAGUGGAAUCGAAGGGCAAAAAAUACGGCUAUAACGGUGGACCCGUCAGUGAUUGAAUAUAAAUUCUGGAUGAAAAAAUUUAUAUUUCGAUCGCCCGGCAACACCGUGGGAAGCCACGUAAAAUCCAAAGACAUUUCAGUUUUUUGAAGUUUGGAUCACGUGGCCCCGUAACGACUGACCCGAAAGGGGAGGGUCUGGAUUUUUGAUCCAGGCCAAUACGCCGACGCUCGCUAGAUUCAAACCGAGAUUAUGCCUACGAACAGGCUACGAUCCGGAGCGAGAUGAAGAUAUAGUCUGUGCCAUGAGAAACCAUGGAAUUGAUCCGACAGCGAUGUCGGCCCAUCGCAUCCUGGGGCUGGAGAAGGUCCCAAGGGUUAGGCUGUUCGCCUAUUAAAGCGGUACGCGAGCUGGGUUCAGAACGUCGUGAGACAGUAAGACUGUGCUGUCUAUAAAUUCGACUAUAUGCUGGAAACUCUGGUGCAACUCCUAAUUGGAGUAGGAGUUCAAAGGAUCUCACACUACGUGGUAAAAUAGAGGUCUAUGCCACGUAAAAAAGUGUUGAGUGCAGACAAUCAGCAGGGAAGAUUACGUGAGUGAUCAAGUAAAACCCUCAGAGACUAUACGUCGAAUCCGCUUUAAGCGGAAAGAUAUAGUCCGAACUGCAUGGCGACAUGCAGACCCCGACAGAAACGUCGGGGCGCCGCAGAGCACAUCGCAGAAUAUGGAAGCGGUUAUGCAAGUAACAAAUUUGUCGGUCUCCUGUCUACUGCGCGCGUGGAAGGUUGAGAGGGCGAUUCUCUAGUACGAGAGGACCGAGAAUCACGAACCUCUAGUGCGCCUGCUGUUCUACCAAGGGCACCGCAGGGUAGCUACGUUCGGAACGGAUAAACGCUGAAAGCAUCUAAGCGUGAAGCCGUCCUCAAGAUUAACCUUCGUUAUUAAGGACCCUUCGAGACGAGGAGGUUGAUAGGUGGUAGGUGUAAGAGCCGCAAGGCUUUGAGCCGAGCCAUACUAAUAGUCCGAUGCUUCGGCCAU